CACGCACACGCACACACAUGCACACACCCACACACCAAGACAUACCUUCCUGCAAAGCCUCAGAUAGACAACCCCCAAGCCCCAGGCACCCACGCUGAGUGGUGGGGGUGGGGGAGCCAGAUUGAAGUGGCCAGGGCAGGAGGAGGGAGCUGCAGAAAGACUGAGGGUGCAAAACAAACACAAGCCCAGCAGACAUUUCUCAGCCUGUUAAUUUCCUACAGUUCUGUUUUCCAGCCUCAGAAACAAGCUGGUUUCUGCCAGUUCACCCCCUUCCCCUGCCUGCACUGUGCAGCUGGUGAGCAGGGAGAAGUUGCAGGGAGGAGGGGGCCCAGAGGAGCUGGGAGGGGACUGGGUCCUCAUUUGAUUUAUAGAAGGACAGGCAAGAUGCAGAGAUGUCUCAGAAGCUGUGACUCCCCAAAGAGAAGCCCAACUGGAAGAUUUGCAGGCUGGACCAGUAUAACCAGACAAAGCUGAGUCUACAGGAGGAGAGACUAAGCCUGAGACCUCAUCUGAUCCCCACUCCCACGACAGUCCAUCCGAGGCACCCGAAAGGUUCU
ensembl:lncRNA